UUCAUAAGAUCCUAGCUCUCACCUUAUUUGGAAAGGAACAGAACAUAACUUUUGUGUCCAAAGAUGAACUCUUUAUAAUGUAUUGUGCAUCACAUGCCCGACCUGUUAACGCCGCUACAUUCAUGAUAGCUAAUUUGUACCAUAUAGCACAGGAAGACUAUGGACCAAUAUUAGUGAGAGGCUUAGUGACCAUGAUUGCAAAUUCCAUCGGACUGAAAUACC
rnacentral:lncRNA from 1 species